rnacentral:rRNA from 1 species
AGGGUUUGAUCCUGGCUCAGAGUGAACGCUGGCGGUAGGCCUAACACAUGCAAGUCGAACGGCAGCACAGAGGAGCUUGCUCCUUGGGUGGCGAGUGGCGGACGGGUGAGGAAUACAUCGGAAUCUACUCUGUCGUGGGGGAUAACGUAGGGAAACUUACGCUAAUACCGCAUACGACCUACGGGUGAAAGCAGGGGAUCUUCGGACCUUGCGCGAUUGAAUGAGCCGAUGUCGGAUUAGCUAGUUGGCGGGGUAAAGGCCCACCAAGGCGACGAUCCGUAGCUGGUCUGAGAGGAUGAUCAGCCACACUGGAACUGAGACACGGUCCAGACUCCUACGGGAGGCAGCAGUGGGGAAUAUUGGACAAUGGGCGCAAGCCUGAUCCAGCCAUACCGCGUGGGUGAAGAAGGCCUUCGGGUUGUAAAGCCCUUUUGUUGGGAAAGAAAUCCAGCCGGCUAAUACCUGGUUGGGAUGACGGUACCCAAAGAAUAAGCACCGGCUAACUUCGUGCCAGCAGCCGCGGUAAUACGAAGGGUGCAAGCGUUACUCGGAAUUACUGGGCGUAAAGCGUGCGUAGGUGGUUAUUUAAGUCCGUUGUGAAAGCCCUGGGCUCAACCUGGGAACUGCAGUGGAUACUGGAUGACUAGAAUGUGGUAGAGGGUAGCGGAAUUCCUGGUGUAGCAGUGAAAUGCGUAGAGAUCAGGAGGAACAUCCAUGGCGAAGGCAGCUACCUGGACCAACAUUGACACUGAGGCACGAAAGCGUGGGGAGCAAACAGGAUUAGAUACCCUGCUAGUCCACGCCCUAAACGAUGCGAACUGGAUGUUGGGUGCAAUUUGGCACGCAGUAUCGAAGCUAACGCGUUAAGUUCGCCGCCUGGGGAGUACGGUCGCA